UCAAACUUGCUUGAAUGUACUCAUUUCGGCGGAAAGAUACAGAGAAGGAUAGCAUGGCCCCUGCACAAGGAUGACACGCAAAAUCGUAAAGCGUUCCACAUUUUU